UGGGGAAUAUUGCACAAUGGACGGAAGUUUGAUGCAGCGACGCCGCGUGGAGGGUGUAGGCCUUCGGGUUGUGAACUCCUUUUUCUCGCGAAAAAGGCACAGUUUUGGCUGUGUUGAUGGUAGUGGGGGAAGAAGCGCCGGCUAACUACGUGCCAGCAGCCGCGGUAAUACGUAGGGCGCGAGCGUUGUCCGGAUUUAUUGGGCGUAAAGAGCUCGUAGGUGGUUCGUCGCGUCUGUCGUGAAAGCCAGCAGCUUAACUGUUGGUCUGCGGUGGGUACGGGCGGGCUUGAGUGCGGUAGGGGUUACUGGAAUUCCUGGUGUAGCGGUGGAAUGCGCAGAUAUCAGGAGGAACACCGAUGGCGAAGGCAGGUCACUGGGCCGUUACUGACACUGAGGAGCGAAAGCGUGGGGAGCGAACAGG
rnacentral:rRNA from 1 species